rnacentral:misc_RNA from 1 species
GAUGAAGAACGUAGCGAAAUGCGAUAAGUAAUGUGAAUUGCAGAAUUCAGUGAAUCAUCGAAUCUUUGAACACACAUUGCGCCCGCCAGUAUUCUGGCGGGCAUGCCUGUUCGAGCGUCAUUUCAACCAUCAAGCCCCAGGCUUGUGUUGGGGACCUGCGGCUGCCGCAGGCCCUGAAAACCAGUGGCGGGCUCGCUGUCACACCGGGCGUAGUAGAUUUUAUCUCGCUCUGGGCGUGCUGCGGGUUCCGGCCGUUAAAAAACCCUUUUAACCCAAGGUUGACCUCGGAUCAGGUAGGAAUACCCGCUGAACUUAAGCAUAUCAAUAAGCGGAGGA